rnacentral:tRNA from 1 species
GGAUCGGUAGUUCAGUUGGUUAGAAUGCUGCCCUGUCACGGCAGAGGUCGCGGGUUCGAGUCCCGUCCGGUCCGCCU